CGGAUAGUCGUCCAGCGGGGGCGGUGGGUUUUUCGCGAGCCCACGAGCAGGUUCGAAUCCUGACUUUCCGGC
rnacentral:tRNA from 2 species